GUGAGGAAUAUUGGUCAAUGGACGAGAGUCUGAACCAGCCAAGUCGCGUGAAGGAAGACGGUUCUAUGAAUUGUAAACUUCUUUUGUGCAGGAAUAAAGUGGGUUACGUGUAACCUUUUGUAUGUACUGUACGAAUAAGGAUCGGCUAACUCCGUGCCAGCAGCCGCGGUAAUACGGAGGAUCCGAGCGUUAUCCGGAUUUAUUGGGUUUAAAGGGUGCGUAGGUGGAUUGAUAAGUCAGCGGUGAAAGUUUGCAGCUUAACUGUAAAAUUGCCGUUGAAACUGUCGGUCUUGAGUGCAAAUGAGGUAGGCGGAAUGUGUUGUGUAGCGGUGAAAUGCUUAGAUAUAACACAGAACUCCGAUUGCGAAGGCAGCUUACUGGGAUGCAACUGACACUGUUGCACGAAAGCGUGGGUAUCAAACAGGAUUAGAAACCCUUGUAGUCC
rnacentral:rRNA from 1 species